UGAGGAAUAUUGGUCAAUGGGCGCAAGCCUGAACCAGCCAUCCCGCGUGAAGGAAGAAUGCGCUACGCGUUGUAAACUUCUUUUCCAGGGGGAGAAUUUUCCUGUCGAGACAGGGAUUGACGGUACCCUGGGAAUAAGCAUCGGCUAACUCCGUGCCAGCAGCCGCGGUAAUACGGGGGAUGCGAGCGUUAUCCGGAUUUAUUGGGUUUAAAGGGUGCGUAGGCGGAUUGAUAAGUCAGUGGUGAAUUUCUGCAGCUUAACUGUAGACUUGCCGUUGAUACUGUUAGUCUUGAGUGUGGUCAAGGCAGGCGGAAUGUGUAAUGUAGCGGUGAAAUGCUUAGAUAUCACACAGAACACCGAUUGCGAAGGCAGCUUGCUGGGUCAUUACUGACGCUGAUGCACGAAAGCGUGGGGAUCAAACAG
rnacentral:rRNA from 1 species